UACGUAGGGGGCAAGCGUUGUCCGGAUUUAUUGGGCGUAAAGGGUGCGUAGGCGGUUUGGUAAGUCUCGUGUGAAAUCUCUGGGCUCAACUCAGAGUCUGCACGAGAAACUGCCGGGCUGGAGUGUGGGAGAGGUGAGUGGAAUUUCCGGUGUAGCGGUGAAAUGCGUAGAUAUCGGAAGGAACACCUGUGGCGAAAGCGGCUCACUGGACCACAACUGACGCUGAUGCACGAAAGCUAGGGGAGCAAACAGG
rnacentral:rRNA from 1 species